rnacentral:rRNA from 1 species
GUCGAGCGGUAGCACAGUAGAGCUUGCUCUCGGGUGACGAGCGGCGGACGGGUGAGUAAUGUCUGGGAAACUGCCUGAUGGAGGGGGAUAACUACUGGAAACGGUAGCUAAUACCGCAUAACGUCGCAAGACCAAAGUGGGGGACCUUCUGGCCUCAUGCCAUCUUAUGUGCCCAGAUGGGAUUAGCUAUUAUGUGGGGUAACGGCUCACCUAGGCGACGAUCCCUAUCUGGUCUGAGAGGAUGACCAGCCACACUGGAACUGAGACACGGUCCAGACUCCUACAGGAGGCAGCAUUGGGGAAUUUUGUGCAAUGUGCGCAAGCCUGAUGCACCCAUGCCGCGUGUGUGAAGAAAGCCUUCGGGUUGUAAAGUACUUUCAGCGGGGAGGAAGGCGAUAAGGUUAAUAACUUUGUCGAUUGACGUUUCCCCCAGAAUAAACACCUGCUAACUCCGUGUCAUCCCCCCGGGAAUACCGAGGGUG